UACGUAGGGACCAAGCGUUGUUCGGAUUUACUGGGCGUAAAGGGCGCGUAGGCGGCUUGACAAGUCACUUGUGAAAUCUCCGGGCUUAACUCGGAACGGCCAAGUGAAACUGUCAUGCUAGAGUGCAGAGGGGGCAAUCGGAAUUCUUGGUGUAGCGGUGAAAUGCGUAGAUAUUACCAGGAACACCAAUGGCGAAGGCAGCUUGCUGGGCCACUCCUGACACUGAGGUACGAAAGCGUGGGGAGCGAACAGG
rnacentral:rRNA from 1 species